GAUGAACGCUGGCGGCGUGCCUAAUACAUGCAAGUCGAACGGGAGACCUGGUUUCGACCGGGUUGAGAGUGGCGCACGGGUGAGGAACACAUGGCUGACCUGCCCUUCAGAGGGGGAUAACGGCUGGAAACGGCUGCUAAUACCCCAUACGCUCCUUGGGAUUAGAGGCCUGAGGAGGAAAGCCUUCGGGUGCUGAAGGAGGGGGGCUGUGGCCCAUCAGCUUGUUGGUAGGGUAACGGCCUACCAAGGCGACGACGGGUAGGGGGCCUGAGAGGGUGACCCCCCCACACUGGGACUGAGACACGGCCCAGACUCCUACGGGAGGCAGCAGUAAGGGAUCUUGCGACAAUGGGCGAAAGCCUGACGCAGCAACGCCGCGUGCGGGAGGACGGCCUUCGGGUUGUAAACCGCUUUUCGGGGGGAAGAGGAAGGACGGUACCCCCGGAAGAAGUCUCGGCUAACUACGUG
rnacentral:rRNA from 1 species